rnacentral:rRNA from 1 species
CAGCGCUAAGCAGGUCGUAAACUCGAUCUAAGGCUAAAUAUCUCCACAGAACCGAUAGCGAACAAGUACCGUGAGGGAAAGUUGAAAAGCACUCUGGAGAGAGAGUCAAAAGACCGUGAAACCGCUCAGAGUAUAAGCCCAUGGCAGCUUGGAAGGCAUAUCGAAAGCGGGGCAUCGGUCUGCCUUCGCGGGUGGUCGGUGUUACCUUGCUUCUGUUGUGGCUCGUCAUGGUAGGGGGGUCAGGUCCACAUCCCGCCGUCGUGUGGGGGGUUCUUGGGUGUGUUGUGGUUUUUCGGUUGGCUUCGGCUGGCCGGAGGGCCCUUCGUGCUCGGUUCCUCUUUUGACACGGACGUUCAGACUCAGAGGCAAGACGCGAUAAACAGCCCACCACGGCACGUUGUGAGGUCACCCACAGGCUCGACUUUCGAUCGUGAACCUUGACGCCGAGCAAGCACAAUGCGUGUCGCAUAUGUUCCUAACCAGGCAACGCUGCCAGGAUCGUGGAACGACACGCGCUCAACAGUCAGGUUCGGGCGGAGACAGAGUUCUGGUAUGAUCCUCUUGCGACGAGCCGGCUUCUGGCCAACAUCCGAUGCUCAGGUCUCCCGCAUGUGCCGCGGGAGAUCGCCUUGACGGUCUGGAUCUUUCACGAGUCCUCUCAGUCGGGCAACGGA